rnacentral:rRNA from 1 species
AGUGGCGGACGGGUGAGUAACGCGUGAGUAACCUGCCUUCAAGAGGGGGAUAACAUUCUGAAAAGAAUGCUAAUACCGCAUGACAUAUCGGAACCACAUGGUUCUGAUAUCAAAGAUUUUAUCGCUUGAAGAUGGACUCGCGUCCGAUUAGUUAGUUGGUGAGGUAACGGCUCACCAAGACCGCGAUCGGUAGCCGGACUGAGAGGUUGAACGGCCACAUUGGGACUGAGACACGGCCCAGACUCCUACGGGAGGCAGCAGUGGGGAAUAUUGCACAAUGGGGGAAACCCUGAUGCAGCGACGCCGCGUGGAGGAAGAAGGUCUUCGGAUUGUAAACUCCUGUUGUUGAGGAAGAUAAUGACGGUACUCAACAAGGAAGUGACGGCUAACUACGUGCCAGCAGCCGCGGUAAAACGUAGGUCACAAGCGUUGUCCGGAAUUACUGGGUGUAAAGGGAGCGCAGGCGGGAAGACAAGUUGGAAGUGAAAUCCAUGGGCUCAACCCAUGAACUGCUUUCAAAACUGUUUUUCUUGAGUAGUGCAGAGGUAGGCGGAAUUCCCGGUGUAGCGGUGGAAUGCGUAGAUAUCGGGAGGAACACCAGUGGCGAAGGCGGCCUACUGGGCACCAACUGACGCUGAGGCUCGAAAGUGUGGGUAGCAAACAGGAUUAGAUACCCUGGUAGUCCACACCGUAAACGAUGAUUACUAGGUGUUGGAGGAUUGACCCCUUCAGUGCCGCAGUUAACACAAUAAGUAAUCCACCUGGGGAGUACGACCGCAAGGUUGAAACUCAAAGGAAUUGACGGGGGCCCGCACAAGCAGUGGAGUAUGUGGUUUAAUUCGACGCAACGCGAAGAACCUUACCAAGUCUUGACAUCCUGCGACGGUUCUGGAAACAGAACUUUCCUUCGGGACGCAGAGACAGGUGGUGCAUGGUUGUCGUCAGCUCGUGUCGUGGGAUGUUGGGUUAAGUCCCGCAACGAGCGCAACCCUUAUGGUCAGUUACUACGCAAGAGGACUCUGGCCAGACUGCCGUUGACAAAACGGAGGAAGGUGGGGAUGACGUCAAAUCAUCAUGCCCUUUAUGACUUGGGCUACACACGUACUACGAUGGCGUUAAACAAAGAGAAGCAAGACCGCGAGGUGGAGCAAAACUCAGAAACAACGUCCCAGUUCGGACUGCAGGCUGCAACUCGCCUGCACGAAGUCGGAAUUGCUAGUAAUCGCGGAUCAGCAUGCCACGGUGAAUACGUUCCCGGGCCUUGCACACACCGCCCGUCA